GUGGGGAAUUUUGGACAAUGGGGGCAACCCUGAUCCAGCCAUGCCGCGUGCGGGAAGAAGGCCUUCGGGUUGUAAACCGCUUUUGUCAGGGAAGAAAUCCUUUGGGUUAAUACCUCGGAGGGAUGACGGUACCUGAAGAAUAAGCACCGGCUAACUACGUGCCAGCAGCCGCGGUAAUACGUAGGGUGCAAGCGUUAAUCGGAAUUACUGGGCGUAAAGCGUGCGCAGGCGGUUUUGUAAGACAGGCGUGAAAUCCCCGGGCUCAACCUGGGAAUUGCGCUUGUGACUGCAAGGCUGGAGUGCGGCAGAGGGGGAUGGAAUUCCGCGUGUAGCAGUGAAAUGCGUAGAUAUGCGGAGGAACACCGAUGGCGAAGGCAAUCCCCUGGGCCUGCACUGACGCUCAUGCACGAAAGCGUGGGGAGCAAACAGGAUUAGAUACCCGGGUAGUCC
rnacentral:rRNA from 1 species